AUUCAGCUGACGAGUCCUGAAUGGGACGAAGCACGGGUCUUGGAU
rnacentral:hammerhead_ribozyme from 1 species